rnacentral:rRNA from 1 species
AACGAACGCUGGCGGCAGGCCUAACACAUGCAAGUCGAGCGAAGCCUUCGGGCUUAGCGGCGGACGGGUGAGUAACGCGUGGGAACGUGCCCUUUGGUACGGAAUAGCCCCGGGAAACUGGGAGUAAUACCGUAUGUGGUCGAGAGACGAAAGAUUUAUCGCCAAAGGAUCGGCCCGCGUUGGAUUAGGUAGUUGGUGGGGCAAUGGCCUACCAAGCCGACGAUCCAUAGCUGGUUUGAGAGAAUGAUCAGCCACACUGGGACUGAGACACGGCCCAGACUCCUACGGGAGGCAGCAGUGGGGAAUCUUAGACAAUGGGGGAAACCCUGAUCUAGCCAUGCCGCGUGAUCGAUGAAGGCCUUAGGGUUGUAAAGAUCUUUCAGUGGGGAAGAUAAUGACUGUACCCACAGAAGAAGCCCCGGCUAACUCCGUGCCAGCAGCCGCGGUAAUAC